UCCUACGGGGCGCAGCAGUGGGGGAUAUUGCACAAUGGGGGAAACCCUGAUGCAGCGACGCCGCGGGAGCGAUGAAGUAUUUCGGUAUGUAAAGCUCUAUCAGCAGGGAAGAAAAGGACGGGACCUGACUAAGAAGCCCCGGCUAACUACGUGGCAGCAGUCGCGGUAGUAAGUAGGGGGCAAGCAUUAUCCGGAUUUACUGGGUGUAAAGGGAGCGUAGACGGCAGUGCAAGUCUGAAGGGAAAGGCAAGGGCUCAAACCUUGGACUGC
rnacentral:rRNA from 1 species